rnacentral:rRNA from 1 species
GACGAACGCUGGCGGCGUGCUUAACACAUGCAAGUCGAGCGGUAAGGCCCUUUCGGGGGUACGACGAGCGGCGAACGGGUGAGUAACACGUGGGUGACCUGCCCUUAGCUCUGGGAUAAGCCUGGGAAACUGGGUCUAAUACCGGAUAUGACUCCAUGACGCAUGUUGUGGGGUGGAAAGCCUUGUGCGGCUAGGGAUGGGCCCGCGGCCUAUCAGCUUGUUGGUGGGGUGAUGGCCACCAAGGCGACGACGGGUAGCCGGCCUGAGAGGGCGACCGGCCACACUGGGACUGAGACACGGCCCAGACUCCUACGGGAGGCAGCAGUGGGGAAUCUUGCGCAAUGGGCGAAAGCCUGACGCAGCGACGCCGCGUGAGGGAUGACGGCC